rnacentral:tRNA from 1 species
GCAUCCGUAGCUCAGCUGGAUAGAGUACUCGGCUACGAACCGAGCGGUCGGAGGUUCGAAUCCUACAGGAUGCACCA